GUGAAUCAUCGAAUCUUUGAACGCACCUUGCGCUCCUUGGUAUUCCGAGGAGCAUGCCUGUUUGAGUGUCUUGAAGUCAUCAACCCGAGCCGUUUGUUGCGGUCGACGGUUGGAUCUGGGGCGUGCUGCCGCGAGGCUGCUCCCCUCAAAUGUGUCGGUUGGACCUGUGGGUCGGACUCGAAUGGGCGUUGUACCAUCCUCGCUCUCCCGAGAAGUUCCCCUUCUGUGUCCUCCCAAGACCUGCCUCUGGAGUGGCGGUCAACUGUACUUUGAAAUCUGACCUCAAAUCAGGUAGGACUACCCGCUGAACUUAAGCAUAUCAAUAAGCGGAGGA
rnacentral:misc_RNA from 1 species